rnacentral:rRNA from 1 species
CCUACGGGAGGCAGCAGUGGGGAAUAUUGCACAAUGGGGGAAACCCUGAUGCAGCGACGCCGCGUGAGUGAAGAAGUAUUUCGGUAUGUAAAGCUCUAUCAGCAGGGAAGAAAAUGACGGUACCUGACUAAGAAGCCCCGGCUAACUACGUGCCAGCAGCCGCGGUAAUACGUAGGGGGCAAGCGUUAUCCGGAUUUACUGGGGGUAACGGGAGCGGAGCCGGCCAGACAAGUCAGAAGGGAAAGCACAGGCUCAACUCUGGGGCUGCUUUUGAGACUGCCGGGCUGGAGUGCAGGAGAGGUAAGCGGAAUUCCUAGUGUAGCGGUGAAAUGCGUAGAUAUUAGGAGGAACACCAGUGGCGAAGGCGGCUUACUGGACUGUAACUGACGUUGAGGCUCGAAAGCGUGGGGAGCAAACAGGAUUAGAUACCCGGGUAGUC